AUGCAGGUUCAUAACAUGGAAAUGCUCUUAGAAAGGUUGUUUACGUGGAUGUUGUCCUCUGUUUGUCUAACCAACAGUAUGGUGAAUGUUACUACUCCCUCCGUCCGGAAAUACUCGUUGGAGAAAUGCAUAAAAAUGGAUGUAUCUAGAACUAAAAUACGUCUAGAUACAUCCAUUCUUCCGACAAGUAUUUCGGGACGGAGGGAGUACAAUUUAGUAGUUACACUGUCGUUCACUUAUAGUAAAGUGAUUAUUUUUUGCUUCUGCUUCACAUGGUUGUUUGUUGGAAAAAAAUGUUUAAAUCUUUUGUGCUACAUAAGUUUGCUCAAUUCUCAUGAAAUUUGUAAUUGGGUUGUUUCGGUUGUUGUUGUAUAUAUUUGUUUCUUUCUAAAAAGUAGGUUUUUUAUGCAACCCUUGGUAGACACUACCACAGAUGUCGAGUGGCGAAAUGUUUUUUAA
rnacentral:rRNA from 1 species